rnacentral:rRNA from 1 species
UACGGAGGGUGCGAGCGUUGUCCGGAAUCAUUGGGCGUAAAGGGCGCGUAGGUGGCCCGUUAAGUGGCUGGUGAAAUCCCGCGGCUCAACUGCGGGGCUGCCGGUCAUACUGGCGAGCUAGAGCACGGUAGGGGCAGAUGGAAUUCCCGGUGUAGCGGUGGAAUGCGUAGAGAUCGGGAAGAAUACCAGUGGCGAAGGCGUUCUGCUGGGCCGUUGCUGACACUGAGGCGCGACAGCGUGGGGAGCAAACAGG